CCUACGGGUGGCAGCAGUGGGGAAUAUUGCACAAUGGGGGAAACCCUGAUGCAGCGACGCCGCGUGAGUGAAGAAGUAACUCGUUAUUUUAAGCUUCAUUAGCAGGGAAGAAAAUGACGGUACCUGAGUCAGAAGCCCCGGCUAACUACGUGCCAGCAGCCGCGGUAAUACGUAGGGGGCAAGCGUUAUCCGGAUUUACUGGGUGUAAAGGGAGCGUAGACGGGAGUGCAAGUCUGGAGUGAAAGGCGGGGGCUCAACCCCCGGACUGCUCUGGAAACUGUACGGCUGGAGUACAGGAGAGGUAAGUGGAAUGCCUGGUGUAGCGGUGAAAUGCGUAGAUAUUAGGAAGAACACCGAUGGCGAAGGCGGCUUACUGAACUGUAACUGACGUUGAGGCUCGAAAGCGUGGGGAGCAAACAGGAUUAGAUACCCGAGUAGUC
rnacentral:rRNA from 1 species